rnacentral:rRNA from 1 species
CGUAACAAGGUUUCCGUAGGUGAACCUGCGGAAGGAUCAUUACCUAGAGUUUGUAGACUUCGGUCUGCUACCUCUUACCCAUGUCUUUUGAGUACCUUCGUUUCCUCGGCGGGUCCGCCCGCCGAUUGGACAACAUUCAAACCCUUUGCAGUUGCAAUCAGCGUCUGAAAAAACAUAAUAGUUACAACUUUCAACAACGGAUCUCUUGGUUCUGGCAUCGAUGAAGAACGCAGCGAAAUGCGAUAAGUAGUGUGAAUUGCAGAAUUCAGUGAAUCAUCGAAUCUUUGAACGCACAUUGCGCCCCUUGGUAUUCCAUGGGGCAUGCCUGUUCGAGCGUCAUUUGUACCUUCAAGCUCUGCUUGGUGUUGGGUGUUUGUCUCGCCUCUGCGUGUAGACUCGCCUUAAAACAAUUGGCAGCCGGCGUAUUGAUUUCGGAGCGCAGUACAUCUCGCGCUUUGCACUCAUAACGACGACGUCCAAAAGUACAUUUUUACACUCUUGACCUCGGAUCAGGUAGGGAUACCCGCUGAACUUAAGCAUAUCA